UUCACUUUCCUUCUUAAGGCCUUGUUUGGCACUGGAGUAUUUGAGGGGAUUUGCGGGGAUUAUCCCGGCCCGUUCUAAAAUCCCCACUUUUCCCCGAAUCGACGUUUGGUGCUAGCGUUUUGGGGCAAAAAAUCCCCGCUCAUCCCGGCCCAUCCCCGACUCUAAUCCAAUUUUUGCCUGAGACUAAAUCCACGCCCCUACCCUCGCGUAUUAUCCCCGUCCCCGUCUCGCCCCCGUCCAAAUCCCAUCGACAGAGCUUCACGCGACCGGCGGUGAGCGGAGCGGCGGCGAGCUAAGGUUCACGCGACCGGCGGCGAGCGAAGCGGCCGCGGGAGAGGCGGAGCAUCUUACCGGCGGGAGGGGAUGGAUCCCGCCUAGCAACUCCACAUCAGAUCGCCGCCGUUCUUGGACUCCCACCGGCACCGCCGUUCUUGGAGUCCAACCGGCGCUGCCGUCUACUGCGGUUCCUCUCCGGGACGGUGAGUAUUGCGGUUCCUCUUGCGCGUGCAGCUGCCUGCCGGUUCGCUAGCUAUCUACAUGAUGCUCCAGAUCCGGUCAAAAAUAGUUGCAUGUGCAUCUCAUCCCUCUCUGUGCAGCGAUGGUGCUUGACGCCAAAUAAGGUGAUAGUUCAUUGGUCGACUGUGCGUGCAGCUCGCUCUACAUCUCUUGCCAAAUUGGUGUGGGUAUAUUUAGUAAGCAUGGAUCAACUUAAUAUAUAGUAGUACAAAUUUAACAUGGCCUGCUCAUUUGGAUGGAUUAGUUUCUAGAAUUCAUUGACUAUAUAUCAACUCCCAAUUUUGACAAUUCACUAAAAAAUGUUAGUACCCUUCUCCUAAAACUCUGAACUUCUAAACUCCUGUUAAGGUAAAGUUGCAUGAAUAGUUAGCUACAGUUCUGUAAAUAUACUUAUUGUUGUGAUAGUUCCUGUUUGUUUUUCUGUAGUUCACUGACAGCAUAUAGCAAAAAGUAAGUUUGACAUGUUUUUCUGUUUUAGGCAGAACACUUCCCAUUGUCUGAAGAUUGGUGUUGAAAGCCUGAAGGUUUGUCUGCAGAGGAACUGAUAUGUGAAGCCUUAUGAGACACUUGCAGAUCUAUUUGGUUUCAUUUAUAUAUCUUGCAGUGUGCAUCUUUAUUUACAACACUUAUAUUUACUGAAUGACCUGACGUGAGCAUCAUGUAAUGAUUCGAAUUUACCCUGCUUAAUUCUACUGUAUAAACAUGUCUAGUUGUUUUUGGUAUCCUUGCAAGUCGUGUCUCAAUUCCAUUGUGUAUGAAUGGAUUUAUACUUGACUGUGUCGUCAUUUAUAUUCAUGAAAAACAUUCCAGUUUGGUAAUUAGCCUGAUAUUAGUCUGGAGAAAUAACAUUGCUCGGAAUAGUUGUGUGAAAUAACGCUUGUAGUUAAACUAUUACAUGAUUAGUUGGCUGCAGAAAACUACAAACAUACACAGACUUGUAUAUGCUUUUCUAAAACUGAGUCCGUAGUGUGAUUUAUAUCUCGAGUCUAGAUGUGCCAUGUCUGCCGGUUUCUCAAGUAUGUAGUUGGAAUGUGUCAUUCUCGUUACUUUGGACCUCACAAGUCAGAUGUGAAUGCGCACUUGUAUGUUUCUGAAGAAGUGAAGGUAACAUUUCCAUCAGUUUCAUUUUGCAUGUACUGCACCUUUUUUUUCUCCAGUAGGACCAUACAUGUGAGCGUUAGACACUGGUGACGAAACAACCCCCUUCUAUCUUAUCAUCUAAAUAACAAUUUUAGUUCAUUUGUUUCAUAUAUGCUUUUCUAAAACUGAGUCUGUACUGUGAUUGAUAUCUUAAGGUUUUGUAUCCUAUAUUUCUGAUUUGUCCGUUUCAUAUUUCAGAUCGGAUCAGCUUCAGGAUGUAAUUUGAGUUUGCAUUUGCUAAUGCCUGUUGUACCAAUCGGCUCCUAUGAGUAAUUUUGUAAUUCAAGAUUCAGGCAGCUUCAGAGUUUGUUAUAGUGUGUGGCUUGUCAAUUUUAUUGUAUGCUGAACAUCAAGUAUGUUGCCACGUUCAGGGUUCAAAUCCAGAGUGACAUAUGAUUUAUUUCAAGACUGUUCAUGACUUGAUCUAGCUGAUGUACUCCUUCAGACCAUACUAGUGUUAAUAUUUAACGUGUAUUGAAACUCAAAAGUUGCGGUGUGCAUAUGAUAUAAAAAUUGAAUCUUUUCUUA